UCCACGUCAUGUGAUGGGAGUGUAUAUCAGAGACUGCUCGACCAUCCACCCUCGGGUUUCGGUGCCGACAUGUCGGACGGACGCUCAUUCUCCCUGUUCCUACAGGUACUUGGGCUGAUCGUCGUCCAGUGCGGCACCGUCUACACGUCAACUGUCAAAGAUGAUGCGUCACCCAGCGACGGUACAUGCCCGGUCAUUCUGCCCUGGCUCUGCAACGCUUCGUCGCUGGAUCUUUCGAAGCUGUGCUUGACUUUCAACUGUGACUACAGCAGACAACUCUGUUCCACGUCAUGUGAUGGGAGUGUAUAUCAGAGACUGCUCGACCAUCCACCCUCGGGUUUCGGUGCCGACAUGUCGGACGGACGCUCAUUCUCCCUGUUCCUACAGGUGGGUCUUUCAUACACUUAUAAGUAUGUAAGGCACAACGGCCAUUCUGGAUUGUCGGCACUGAGACCCAACCUUUUGUGUCAAAUGUAUGUUGGUAUUACCGAUUGCUACACUAAAUACAGCCUAGCUGUGGCUAGGUUCGUGAAACAACGACUAUUGAUGGCAGGAGAUAUAGAAGCGAACCCAGGCCCGCUCACUUCUACACAGGAGAAACAACUAGUCGAUGCUAUGCUACUAAUACCUGGCAUGAACGAGGGGCAAAAAGCAAUGUUGAAUGAAUUGAAAGCCAUUAGGGAAAUGCAAACAUCGUUCGAAAGAAAACUAGAGGGCUUGUCAUCUAGGAUAACAGCUAUUGAAAGCGAGAUGACUAUGGUUAAAUCCUUGAGAGACGAAGUUGCUGACAUAAAAACGGCGAAUCUGGAACUUGACACCCAACUUAGAAUGACUACCGCACAACAGGAUGAAGUACAAAAUCAAUCGCGCCGAAACAACCUUAUCUUUUACGGCUUGGCGGACAAAGCAAAUGAAACCUGGGAAGAAUCUGAGGCCAAAGUGAUCACCUUUUGCUCUGAUAAGCUCGGCGUAAAGCUUGAGCCCACUAACAUAGAACGUGCGCACAGGCUAGGCCGUUUUUUCCGAAGAGAGAGGACGCCCCCUUAUCUCAAAGUUUCUGUCAUUUAAAGAUAAACAAAAAAUACUGUCAGUCGCCUAUAAACUAAAGGGGAGUGGCUUUUCCAUUGGUGAGGAUUUCUCACCUGCUAUACAACUCUCACGACGCAAACUUUUAGAGUACGCCAGGGAACAAAACGCCCAAUUCAAACUACGAUACAACAAGUUAGUUAUUCGUGGUAAAACAUACCAGUACAAUCCUGACACCGACGUCGUGUUUGAAACCUCUGUAUAGCCACGACAAAAAAGCGAUAUCAGAGGGCCUGACGUAC